CAGCUACUACCACCACUACUAGUAGUAGUAGUUUGAGAAUUGAAAGCAGCAGCAUUGACCCUAAAAGAAGCACGACGACGAGGAUGAGGAGGAGGAGGACCACAGAUGAUGAGGUUCUCCUGCUCG
rnacentral:ribozyme from 1 species